rnacentral:piRNA from 1 species
UGGUGUAGAACCAGGUCCAAGCCCGUGCGU